GCCCUUCCUACGGGAGGCAGCAGUGGGGAAUUUUGGACAAUGGGGGCAACCCUGAUCCAGCCAUCCCGCGUGUGCGAUGAAGGCCUUCGGGUUGUAAAGCACUUUUGGCAGGGAAGAAAAGCCGCGGGUUAAUACCCUGCGGUGCUGACGGUACCUGCAGAAUAAGCACCGGCUAACUACGUGCCAGCAGCCGCGGUAAUAAGGGCA
rnacentral:rRNA from 1 species